ACCUAUUGGACCCGGGGGCGGUACCCGGCGCCUCCACCA
rnacentral:tmRNA from 1 species